rnacentral:rRNA from 1 species
UACAGAGGUCUCAAGCGUUGUUCGGAUUCAUUGGGCGUAAAGGGUGUGUAGGUGGCGCCGUAAGUCGGGUGUGAAAUUUCGGAGCUUAACUCCGAAACUGCAUUCGAUACUGCGGUGCUUGAGGACUGGAGAGGAGACUGGAAUUCAUGGUGUAGCAGUGAAAUGCGUAGAGAUCAUGAGGAAGACCAGUGGCGAAGGCGGGUCUCUGGACAGUUCCUGACGCUGAGGC